rnacentral:rRNA from 1 species
AUUGAACGCUGGCGGCAGGCCUAACACAUGCAAGUCGAGCGAGCGGCGGACGGGGGAGUAAUGUAUGGGGACUGCCCGAUAGAGGGGGAUAACUACUGGAAACGGUAGCUAAUACCGCACACUAUCUGAUAACCCCUAUGGGAUUAGCUAGUAGGUGAGGUAAUGGCUCACCUCGGCGACGAUCCCUAGCUGGUCUGAGAGGAUGACCAGCCACACUGGGACUGAGACACGGUCCAGACUCCUACGGAGGCAGCAGUGGGGAAUAUUGCACAAUGGGCGCAAGCCUGAUGCAGCCAUGCCGCGUGUAUGAAGAAGGCCUUAGGGUUGUAAAGUACUUUCAGCGGGGAGGCGUUACCGACAGAAGAAGCACCGGCUAACUCCGUGCCAGCAGCCGCGGUAAUAC